AGUGAACGCUGGCGGUAGGCCUAACACAUGCAAGUCGAACGGUAGCACAGUAAGAGCUUGCUCUUACGGGUGGCGAGUGGCGGACGGGUGAGGUAUACACCGGAAUCUACUUUUUCGUGGGGGAUAACGUAGGGAAACUUACGCUACUACCGCAUACGACCUACGGGUGAAAGCAGGGGAUCUUCGGACCUUGCGCGAUUGAAUGAGCCGAUGUCGGAUUAGCUAGUUGGCGGGGUAAAGGCCCACCAAGGCGACGAUCCGUAGCUGGUCUGAGAGGAUGACCAGCCACACUGGAACUGAGACACGGUCCAGACUCCUACGGGAGGCAGCAGUGGGGAAUAUUGGACAAUGGGCGCAAGCCUGAUCCAGCCAUACCGCGUGGGUGAAGAAGGCCUUCGGGUUGUAAAGCCCUUUUGUUGGGAAAGAAAAGCAGCAGGUUAAUACCCCGCUGUUCUGACGGUACCCAAAGAAUAAGCACCGGCUAACUUCGUG
rnacentral:rRNA from 1 species